rnacentral:tRNA from 1 species
UGUGGCUCAUCAGUAGAGCACUCAUCUAGCACAUGUGAAGUCCUGGGUUCGAUCCUCAGCA